GUUAGUAUGGUAUUAAUAGAAACCGCACUUUUUUUUUAUUUUUUAUAUAAAUACAUUAAACAGUAAGGAAUAUGUUAGGUGUUACUGUGAGGCUGAGACGAGGUCAAGGGAGUGUGGCGCUUUUGCCGGUUGACCCUUUAAACUGAUUAGUGUCACUUGUGUUACAAGCUUCAGGUAACCUAUUAAUAUUAUAAGGUAAAGAUAGAACAAUCCUUACUAUAAACCAAAGAUCAUAACAUUUCUCAUAUAGGCAAUCGGGUGUAGGAGUAGAGGCUGUAGUAACUUAUGUGGGGGUGGAAUAUGAGAGAAGGCCAACUGUUAGGCCAGCGUUUGAAAUGCUAAUAACUGGCUCUUUCUUGCGUGACCCAUAACCAAGGGGCCCUGGGGGGGUGAGGGAGGUGUCAUGUGACACACCUAUCUAAGUGAGCAGGGCCUUGGCUGUCUAGGCCUCGGUGGAGAGU